UCAGUGAUCUUGUGACCUUGAGGUGACCUAGCUAGCCAGCGAGAUCCACGUGGCAGUAAGUCUAGAUGAGAGUGCUGACUGUGCACCUCACGACUACCAUGCGACCUUAGGGCAUGUCUCGGUUAUGAGUUGCAUAAUCUCUAUACUCUGCUUCCUGGAUUGAUCCUGGUCAAUGUAUUUCUGCCAGCACGCACACACUGAGGCGUGGCAAAGGCUUUUGAUAGGGGUUAAACAAACCCUAGAAAUCUAGAGAGACAUCCAAGAGAAGCCAACAUUGAGGGUAAGAAAAGAGAGAACCUUUAUCUCGACAAAAAAUCAUUCCACCCUCUCUUUUUCAUCUCUUCAAUAUUUGAUUGAGAUUUUGUAAACCAUUUCCUCACCCAUAAACACAGACCUUGUGAGUGAGAGAAAGCUUAUGUAAACAAAAGCUCUUUCUCACUCCGAAUUCCAUUGUUUACAAGCUGAUUACGAGGCCAGUGCCAUUUCCGUGCUUUGGAGUGUUGAAUGCCAAUAUAUUGACCUUUGUUUGUCAAAUAUAGAGUUAGUGACUCGUGAAUUGAUCAUUCUUCUCAGGUUACAAAGCCAGUGCCAUUUCCAUGCUUUGGAGUGUUGAAAAAAGAGAAGCAUGUCUUGUUGCCUUCAGUUUCUGACCUUGUAAUUGAACAAGGAUAUUUGCAAUCCCUCUUUGGUGUCUACUCUCUUAGAAUUGAAAAUGUUGGUGUAAGAAGGCCCCCAAGUGACGAUGUUCAAAUACAGGGUAUUGGAAAUCCACGUGCUUUCAGGAAGGCUGUUCUAAUGCUUCUUGCAAAUAUGAGAUGUGAGGGUUUCUCUCGACAAGUUUCCACAAUUGAAGAUGUUCCAAACUUUAGACUGGUUUCCCCAUCAAAAUCUCUCAGGCAUGAUUCCAUUCCACAAUCUGGGGACCUAAUACUACUACAAAAACUAGAGGAGGUUGGAAGUUCUGUGAAGAGAGUUCAAGCUUUAAUUGAGGAGCAACAGUCUCAAACAUCAGAACCUGUAGAUUGAGGCUAGCUACAAAGUUAUACAUAUUAUCGUAUCGUGCCUUUUAAACUAAGAACCAACUCAUUUUGGUAUUUACUAUCUGAGCUGCCAUUUUAAGGAGUGAUAUUUUAGAUACUACAGAGCUAAAUUACAAUUGAAUUCUAUUUGUUUCCAUGUGUAUGUUGGUGGGCAAGGUGUGCAAUUUUUGGUCAUUUCAUUUAGUUUGUAAUUUAUCAUAUGACAGGCAGAAAAGUUUACGUUUUCCAUGUAUACAUCUUGAUUAUCCCUCUCCAGUCUCUCUAUGUUUUGUUGUUAUAAGUUGUAACUAAUUCUUUGUAUCAUGUAUACUUGUUACAAACCCCUGUAGAUUGUCUUCAACUUUUCAUGUCUGAUUUUGAUGUUCUGUAUUUUGUUGCA